GUCACGGCAUGAUGCAUGUGCCUGUAGUCCUGGCUACUCAGGAGGCUGAGGUGGGAGAUUGCUGGAGCCCAGGCGUUCUGAGCUGUAGUGUGCAGUGCUAAUCUGGUGUGUACACUGAGUUCAGCAUCAAUAUGGUGACCUGAGAGCUAGGGACCACCAGAUUGCCUAAGAGGGUGAGUCAGGCCAACCUGGAAACAGUCACAACUGUGCUGAUUAGCAGUGGGAGUGCCUGUAAGUAGCCACUGCCCUUCAGCCUAGCAGCAUAGUUGACCUGUCUCAA
ensembl:misc_RNA Metazoa_SRP Metazoan signal recognition particle RNA